GAUGAACGCUGGCGGCGUGCCUAAUACAUGCAAGUCGAGCGAACGGACGCGAAGCUUGCUUUUCUGAUGUUAGCGGCGGACGGGUGAGUAACGCGUGUAUAACCUACCUAUAAGUCUGGUAUAACUUCGGGAAACCGGAGCUAAUACCGGAUAAUAUUUUGAAGCGCAUGGUUCAAAAGUGAAAGACGGUCUUGCUGUCACUAAUAGAUGGAUCCGCGCUGCAUUAGCUAGUUGGUAAGGUAACGGCUUACCAAGGCAACGAUGCAUAGCCGACCUGAGAGGGGGAUCGGCCACACUGGAACUGAGCCACGGUCCAGACUCCUACGGGAGGCAGCAGUAGGGAAUCUGCCGCAAUGGGCGAAAGCCUGACGGAGCAACGCCGCGUGAGUUAUGAAGGUCUUCGGAUCGUAAAACUCUGUUAUUAGGGAAGAACAUAUGUGUAAGUAACUGUGCACAUCUUGACGGUACCUAAUCAGAAAGCCACGGCUAACUACGUG
rnacentral:rRNA from 1 species